rnacentral:rRNA from 1 species
GACGAACGCUGGCGGCGUGCUUAACACAUGCAAGUCGAACGGAAAGGCCCUGCUUUUGUGGGGUGCUCGAUUGGCGAACGGGUGAGUAACACGUGAGUAACCUGCCCUUGACUGUGGGAUAACUUCAGGAAACUGGGGCUAUUAUCGGAUAGGAGCUCCUGCUGCAUGUGGUGGGUUGGAGAGUUUCGGCGGUUGUGGAUGUACUCGCGGCUUAUCAGCUUGUUGGUGUGGUAGUUGCUUACCAAGGCUAUGACGGGUAGCCGGCCUGAGAGGGUGACCGGCCACAUUGGGACUGAGAUACGGCCCAGACUCCUACGGGAGGCAGCAGUGGGGAGUAUUGCACAAUGGGCGGAAGCCUGAUGCAGCAACGCCGCGUGCGGGAUGACGGCCUUCGGGUUGUAAACCGCUUUCGCCUGUGACGAGGCGUGAGUGACGGUAAUGGGUAAAGAAGCACCGGCUAACUACGUG